GAUUCAAGUGUCUGCCGAAGGGCAGGUGAAAAGGGAAACCGGUGGAAAUCCGGUGCAACAGCCAUUACUGUGAGCGGUGAAAAGAGGUGCCGUGCCAUUGAACGGAAGUUUGAGAAGGCGAGCCGAAUCCGAAAAGGACCGUAAGUCAGGAGACCUGCUUGAAAU
rnacentral:ncRNA from 1 species